UACGGGGGGAGCAAGCGUUGUUCGGAUUUACUGGGCGUAAAGGGCGCGUAGGCGGCCAGCACAAGUCAGUUGUGAAAUCUCCGAGCUUAACUCGGAAAGGUCAACUGAUACUGUGCGGCUAGAGUGCGGAAGGGGCAACUGGAAUUCUUGGUGUAGCGGUGAAAUGCGUAGAUAUCAAGAGGAGCACCUGCGGCGAAGGCGGGUUGCUGGGCCGACACUGACGCUGAGGCGCGAAAGCCAGGGGAGCGAACGGG
rnacentral:rRNA from 1 species